rnacentral:rRNA from 1 species
UACGUAGGUGGCAAGCGUUAUCCGGAUUUAUUGGGUGUAAAGGGCGUGUAGGCGGGAAUGCAAGUCAGAUGUGAAAACUAUGGGCUCAACCCAUAGCCUGCAUUUGAAACUGUAUUUCUUGAGUGCUGGAGAGGCAAUCGGAAUUCCGUGUGUAGCGGUGAAAUGCGUAGAUAUACGGAGGAACACCAGUGGCGAAGGCGGAUAGCUGGACAGUAACUGACGCUGAGGCGCGAAAGCGUGGGGAGCAAACAGG